rnacentral:misc_RNA from 2 species
UAUUCUCAACCUUCAUAACUUUUUGUUAUCGAAGGCUUGGACUUGGAGGUUGUGCUGGCUUCUUGUCAAGUCGGCUCCUCUUAAAUGCAUUAGCGAAAGUGUAACGGAUCGCUUCGGUGUGAUAAUUAUCUGCGCCGCUGUCGAGAAGUAACAUAAGCUUGCGCUUCUAGUCGUCCUUCAGUUGGACAACUUACUCUGAC